rnacentral:lncRNA from 1 species
UUCUCGGAGCUUCCUUCAGUCUCACGGCCGAUUUCCUAGAGAUUUUUGAGUUCUUCCCUCGCCAUCAGGCCUCUAGUUGUCACUGUCAUCGGUGUGGUCAUCUCUCCCUUCCUAAAUUGCCAUUUCUAAUUGGCUGUGGACUAGAAACCAGAACUCUAGGCUUAUGAGAGUGACUGUGAAGUCAGCAUUCAUCUGCUUUGAUGAAGCAUCUGAUAGGCCUGAGUUAAGGGCAGAACCUUCAGGCUUUGCAGCCCCUGUGCCGGCCAUGGAGAGUCAUUCUUGUGUUUCUCCUUGAUUUACAGCCACAGUUCGGAAAAGGGAGGCUACAGCCUGAGAGGUAGCUGCUCUUCAUCUGAGUUGCACAGAAAACCCUGAACACACUUAUCACCCAUCUCUAAAUUCCCUACGGACACCAGAGCUUGCAAACUGUUUCAAGAGAACCACACUGCUUAUGAUCUUCACCUUUUAACAAUAAACAAAGCACGUUGACUAUUGCUUCCCUGUUUGGAAGAUCAGGAAAUUGAGGCUGAGGAAGAGAUCACAGGAGACUGAUUCUAUAGCUUGGAGCCACCCUUAGGUGGGGAUUUGGUUAGAGCCUGAACAAGUCCAGAUUCCAGGAGGAACAAGAUGCAUGGGAAGUGCUCCGGAUGCUGUGAUGGACUUCUGUAUUUACGUUGAAUGAGUUGAAUGAAUGUCAUAGGCAGAAAGAACUGCUCACUAGGGGGCCGGGACAGAGGCUGAUGGAGAUUCCCGUUAGCCAGGUGUGGAGCGGAGCCUCCAGGGCUUGCCAGGUAUGCUGGAAACAGAACACCACACAAACAUCUCUACAGCCCUGAAGUGCAAAGCUAAAUAACAUGGGACAUUAUGAAAACGACUGUCAUUCUUAUUUAAUUUAGAAAAUCCACAUAAAACAUGUACACAUCAUGAAUAAGAAUAGUAAAGGCCUAUUAUGUACCAGGUGCCAUGCUAAGGGCUAAUCCACUGAGUUCUCUAAACACGCUCUUUUUUCUUAUGUGGAGGUUAAGGCACAGAGAGGUUAUGUAACUUGCCUAAGGUCACACAGCUCUAAAAUUUUGGAGCUGGGAUUUGAACCCAGGUGGUCUGGCCUCAGAACCUGUGCUCUGCUGCUUUAUGGUAUUCUCCUCCCCUUCUCUUUUAGAGCAAUAGAAAAAUC